rnacentral:rRNA from 1 species
AUACGUAGGUGACAAGCGUUAUCCGGAUUUACUGGGCGUAAAGGGCGUGUAGGCGGUCUUGCAAGUCAGAAGUGAAAUUCAUGAGCUCAACUCGGGCGCUGCUUCUGAAACUGCAGGACUUGAGUGCUGGAGGGGAUAGCGGAAUUCCUAGUGGAGCGGUAAAAUGCGCAGAUAUUAGGAAGAACACCGGUGGCGAAGGCGACUCUCUGGACUGAUACUGACGCUGAGGCACGAAAGCGUGGGGAGCAAACAGGGUUAGAUACCCUGGUAGUCCACGCUAUAAACGAUGAGUGCUAGGUGUCGGGGGUCAAACCUCGGUGCCGCAGUUAACACAUUAAGCACUCCGCCUGGGGAGUGCGGCCGCAAGGUUGAAACUCAAAUGAAUUGACGGGG